rnacentral:rRNA from 1 species
UACGAAGGGGGCUAGCGUUGUUCGGAAUCACUGGGCGUAAAGCGCACGUAGGCGGAUUUUUAAGUCAGGGGUGAAAUCCCGAGGCUCAACCUCGGAACUGCCUUUGAUACUGGGGAUCUGGAGUCCGGGAGAGGUGAGCGGAACUGCGAGUGUAGAGGUGAAAUUCGUAGAUAUUCGCAAGAACACCAGUGGCGAAGGCGGCUCACUGGACCGGUAUUGACGCUGAGGUGCGAAAGCGUGGGGAGCAAACAGG